rnacentral:rRNA from 1 species
AAUAUUGGACAAUGGGGGCAAGCCUGAUCCAGCCAUGCCGCGUGUAUGAUGAAGGCCUUCGGGUUNUCAAGUACUUUUGGCAGAGGNGAAAAGGUAUCUCCUAAUACGAGAUACUGCUGACGGUAUCUGCAGAAGAAGCCCCGGCUAACUUCGUGCCAGCAGCCGCGGUAAUACGGAGGGUGCAAGCGUUAAUCGGAAUUACUGGGCGUAAAGGGCGUGUAGGCGGUUCUGAAAGACAGAUGUGAAAGCCCCGGGCUCAACCUGGGAACUGCAUUUGUAACUGGCGGGCUAGAGUAUGUCAGAGGGGGGUAGAAUUCCACGUGUAGCAGUGAAAUUCGUAGAUAUGUGGACGAAUACCGAUGGCGAAGGCAGCCCCCUGGAAUAAUACUGACGCUCAGGCACGAAAGCGUGGGGAGCAAACAGG